GAUGAAGAACGCAGCGAAAUGCGAUAAUUAAUGUGAAUUGCAGAAUUCCGUGAAUCAUCGAGUCUUUGAACGCACAUUGCGCCUCAUGGCAUUCCGUGAGGCAUGCCCAUCUCAGCGUUAGAAAAUAUUCUCAAAUUUUAGUUUUGUGCUAAAAUUUGGAUCAUGUCAAAGAAGCUGUUACUAUUAUUGUGAUCGCUCUUUGGAAAUUGAUAGGUCUUUGAGUUGCUACUCAUAGAACGUGAUGAAUCUUUCUUCGUUCUAUUGUAAUUCACUCUGGUAGUCCUAAAACUUGUAUGCCUGUGGCAUAUCUUGUAAUUUGACCUGAGAUUGGGUAGGGAUACCCGCUGAACUUAAGCAUAUCAAUAAGCGGAGGA
rnacentral:misc_RNA from 1 species